rnacentral:misc_RNA from 1 species
GUAGGUGAUCCUGCGGAAGGAUCAUUAACACGUGAUACUCACGUAUUAACACAACCACCGUGAAUUUGUUUCUAACCUAUUGUAUAUAGAUUAUAUAUGGGGAGUGCUAUUGGCCGCCUUUCGGAUUUCGACUGGACUUUCCUAAUCGAUCGUUCACGCCAUAACCUAUAUAGUCGUUCUAGGUCCGCCCUGGAGUGUGCACCAACAAAUAGAUGAUGUAAUUAUGACUGCUUAUUCAGCCUGUAGCAUAGCUUGCAGCUCAUAGUGAAAUAAUUAACCCCUUUUAUAUUAUUUACUGAUUUGUAUGUUUAUAUGAAUUCCUUAUCUUCGGAUAGGUUGAUUUUAUAUAGAUGUCGUAUAUUACUAAUACGAAACAACUCUUAGCAACGAAUCGAUAUCUUGGUUCUC